UGACCCAAGCUGAAAUCAAGAGUCAGAUGCUCAACUGACUGAAUCACCCAGCCUUGCUGUGGCUGAGAGGUCUGUCAGAUGCAGCUCUGGCCUAUGCUUGAAGUGCUGCGUGCUGUGAAAAGUCCCACCUUGACCAGGUUCCUGGAGGGGUCAAGAAACACAUAUCAUCUGCGAACCCUUUCUCGGUCACAACUAAAGCCAGCUUGGCCUACCAAACCUUCUCCUACAUCUUGGACCCACCGGCAGGUCAGCUUCCAACUAGGACAAUCUGGGUGACAGUCCUCAAUCGGAAAGGACUGGAGAGGUCUUGUGGUCCCUUCAUUACAGAGGUUCCACGGCUUGGCAUGGUCACCCAGCUGGCCAGAGGCAGACCCUCUUCAUGUCCCAGCCCAAGGAUGCUUUAUGGAAAGGACACUGCUCGUCAACUGACCUGGACGGCCUUCAGACCACAGGGCCCGCCAUGAGAGGCGUAUGGAUGGCGAAACUGACCGGCUGUGGGUUAACGGCUGGGGAAGUUGCAUGCCUCCCCCCUACAGCCUCUGACGACUCUUCCUCUCCAGGCUGCAACAUCUGUUCAUAUGGCCACCCCUGGCUGCUCCAGCCUGUCCUGAACCUUCCCUGCCUCUUCCCUCAGCGUCGGAGCCCAUCUGUGUGUGUGAGC